AGCAGAGUGGCGCGGCAGUGGAAGCGUGCUGGGCCCAUAACCCAGAGGUCCGAGGAUCGAAACCUUGCGCUCUGCUA
rnacentral:tRNA from 1 species